GACGAACGCUGGCGGCGUGCUUAACACAUGCAAGUCGAACGGAAAGGCCUCUUUCGGGGGGUACUCGAGUGGCGAACGGGUGAGUAACACGUGAGUAACCUGCCCUUGACUUUGGGAUAACUUCAGGAAACUGGGGCUAAUACCGGAUAGGAGCUCCUGCUGCAUGGUGGGGGUUGGAAAGUUUCGGCGGUUGGGGAUGGACUCGCGGCUUAUCAGCUUGUUGGUGGGGUAGUGGCUUACCAAGGCUUUGACGGGUAGCCGGCCUGAGAGGGUGAUCGGCCACACUGGGACUGAGAUACGGCCGAGACUCCUACGCGAGGCAGCAGUGGGGAAUAUUGCACAAGGGGUGGAAGCCUGAUGCAGCAACGCAGUGGGCGGGAUGACGGCCUUCGGGUUGUAAACCGCUUUCGCUCAUGACGAAGCUUUGUGUGACGGUAGUGGGUAAAGAAGCACCGGCUAACUACGUG
rnacentral:rRNA from 1 species